rnacentral:rRNA from 1 species
AACGAACGCUGGCGGCAGGCUUAACACAUGCAAGUCGAACGGGUGUAGCAAUACAUCAGUGGCAGACGGGUGAGUAACACGUGGGAACCUUCCUAGGGGUACGGAACAACUCAGGGAAACUUGAGCUAAUACCGUAUACGUCCGUGAGGAGAAAGAUUUAUCGCCCUUAGACGGGCCCGCGUCGGAUUAGCUAGUUGGUGGGGUAACGGCCUACCAAGGCGACGAUCCGUAGCUGAUCUUAGAGGAUGAUCGGCCACACUGGGACUGAGACACGGCCCAGACUCCUACGGGAGGCAGCAGUGGGGAAUCUUGGACAAUGGGCGCAAGCCUGAUCCAGCCAUGCCGCGUGAGUGAAGAAGGUCUUCGGAUUGUAAAGCUCUUUUGCCAGGGACGAUAAUGACGGUACCUGGAGAAUAAGCCCCGGCAAACUUCGUGCCAGCCGCCGCCGUAA